CUUUUGGUGAGCUUCUCCAGUAUUCAGAGUGUUAUCAAAUAAGACGACUUGCAUUCCUUGCUUCCACGCGAGAGAAGUCAGUCCUCCAAACAAAUGACGACCGAAAUUACAUUUCUGGAAUGGUAGGAAGAAGACGAAUGGAACAACUUUCAGUUUAUAUCAUUUCUCCAAACGGAGAAAGCGAUUGUUUUAUCUCCAUCUGUCUAUAAAAAAGUUGAAAGAUGAAAAAUUUGUAUUCUGGAUGGACUUCAUGAAGUAAAUCAAAAUUUCUCGAAAUCUGGAAGAAAAUUCAGGACAUUGAGGAUGGAGUUGAAGAACGAUUGAACUAAGUGGGAUGAAACUAGUUAUAAUUGAAAACUUUAAAAAUCAUCAUAUUUUUCUAUACUUUUCUUGCAAUCUGCUUGUGGUUGGCAGUAUAUUUCUAACAGUUUUGUGUUGUGAAUUUGGUAGUUUUAAACGGUUUUAGUUAGCUUGC